rnacentral:rRNA from 1 species
AGGCUUUGAUCCUGGCUCAGGACGAACGCUGGCGGCGUGCCUAAUACAUGCAAGUCGAGCGCAGGAAGUCAUCUGAACCCUUCGGGGGGACGUUGACGGAAUGAGCGGCGGACGGGUGAGUAACACGUAAAGAACCUGCCCUCAGGUCUGGGAUAACCACGAGAAAUCGGGGCUAAUACCGGAUGGGUCAUCGAACCGCAUGGUUCGAGGAUGAAAGGCGCUUCGGCGUCGCCUGGGGAUGGCUUUGCGGUGCAUUAGCUAGUUGGUGGGGUAAUGGCCCACCAAGGCGACGAUGCAUAGCCGACCUGAGAGGGUGAUCGGCCACACUGGGACUGAGACACGGCCCAAACUCCUACGGGAGGCAGCAGUAGGGAAUCUUCCACAAUGGACGAAAGUCUGAUGGAGCAACGCCGCGUGAACGAUGAAGGCCUUCGGGUCGUAAAGUUCUGUUGUAAGGGAAGAACAAGUGCCGCAGGCAAUGGCGGCACCUUGACGGUACCUUGCGAGAAAGCCACGGCUAAAU